rnacentral:ncRNA from 1 species
CGACGCGGUGGGGCACGACAUCAACUACUUAAAGAACCAAGAGAAAUAACCCAACCCCACCCCACCUGAUCCCGGUCGUCAGCUGCGGGAAGGCGCGUCACUCGCGUGGGUGAGGUUUGCCGACUGAGCUGGAUUCCGGACCGGUUGGCAGGCAUAUGCUCGCGCUGAUCCACCUUCGAUCAACCUUCGAUCGACCUAUCAGACAUCGAACAGCCCCCGGCCGGGACGGCAAUCCCGAACCGAGGGCCUAGCCACCAAGGAAGAGAACGCUUCCCG